rnacentral:lncRNA from 1 species
ACAACAUGGAAAUAGGUUUUGAUCAAGGACACAUGUAAUACCCAGUGGAAUUGCGCAUCAGCUACAGGAAGGGUGAAGGGAAGGAAGGGAGGGACUUCCCACAGAGUGUACACACACAUGCUGGGGUAGGAAGAAGUGAAACACAGGCCUAAUGAAUGGGCAGCUCACCCCUUUUUCUUGGUUGCCUUUGAGAUUUGAACUGGACUUUCUUCCUCUCCAUCUAGUAGACUGGGAGCUCCUGAGCGAAGCCAGGACAGGCAUGGCAGAAAGCAGGGCACAAGUCAGGUGUGGGCUGCACUCACUGCUCUAG